rnacentral:rRNA from 1 species
CAGCCGCCGCGGUAAUACGGGGGGUGCGAGCGUUAUUCGGAAUUACUGGGCGUAAAGAGCGCGUAGGCGGUCUCUUAAGUCGGGUGUGAAAGCCCGGGGCUCAACCCCGGAACUGCACUUGAAACUGAUAGACUUGAGUAUGGGAGAGGGAGGUGGAAUUCCUGGUGUAGCGGUGAAAUGCGUAGAUAUCAGGAGGAACAUCAGUGGCGAAGGCGACCACCUGGACCGAUACUGACGCUGAGGCGCGAAGGCGUGGGGAGCAAACAGGAUUAGAUACCCUGGUAGUCCACGCAGUAAACGAUGAACACUAGGUGUAGCGGGUAUUGACCCCUGCUGUGCCGCAGCAAACGCAUUAAGUGUUCCGCCUGGGGAGUACGGCCGCAAGGUUAAAACUCAAAUGAAUUGACGGGGGCCCGCACAAGCGGUGGAGCAUGUGGUUUAAUUCGACGCAACGCGAAGAACCUUACCUGGGUUUGACAUCCCGGGAAUCCUGUGGAGACACAGUAGUGCCCUUCGGGGAGACCCGUGACAGGUGCUGCAU